rnacentral:tRNA from 1 species
GCCUGGGUGGCUCAGUCAGUUAAGCAUCUGACUUCAGCUCAGGUCAUGAUCUCACAGUCUGUGAGUUCGAGCCCCACGUCAGGCU